rnacentral:rRNA from 1 species
AGUGAACGCUGGCGGUAGGCCUAACACAUGCAAGUCGAACGGCAGCACAGUAAGAGCUUGCUCUUACGGGUGGCGAGUGGCGGACGGGUGAGGAAUACAUCGGAAUCUACUUUUUCGUGGGGGAUAACGUGGGGAAACUUACUCUAAUACCGCAUACGACCUACGGGUGAAAGCAGGGGAUCUUCGGACCUUGCGCGAUUGAAUGAGCCGAUGUCGGAGUAGGUAGUUGGCGGGGUUAAGGCCCACCCAGGCGACGAUCCGUAGCAAGUCUGUGAGGAUGAGCAGGCACGCGAGAACUGAGAGACAGACCAGACUCCAACGGGAGGCAGCAGUGGGGAAUGAUGGACAAGGGGCGAAAGCCUGAUCCAGCCAUGCCGCGUGGGGGAAGAAGGCCUUCGGGUUGUAGACCGUUUGUUGGGAAAGAAAAGCAGCAGGUUGAUACCCAGCUGGUCUGACGGUACUCAAAGAAGAAGCACCGGCUAACUUCGUG